rnacentral:miRNA from 1 species
GAGUGUUCUGGCUGUGUCUCCUGUCUGAUUGCUUCAUCAUGAGAGUGUGUGCUGCAAACACACACACAUGCACACUCAUAACCCACUCAGAC